rnacentral:misc_RNA from 1 species
GAUGAAGAACGUAGCGAAAUGCGAUAAGUAGUGUGAAUUGCAGAAUUCAGUGAAUCAUCGAAUCUUUGAACGCACAUUGCGCCCCUUGGUAUUCCAUGGGGCAUGCCUGUUCGAGCGUCAUUUGUACCCUCAAGCUUUGCUUGGUGUUGGGUGUUUGUCCCGCGUUGCGCGUGGACUCGCCUUAAAGCGAUUGGCAGCCGACAUAUUGGCCUUGGAGCGCAGCACAUUUUGCGCUUCUAGUCAUGAAUGUUGGCGUCCAUUAAGCCUAUACAUUUGCUCUUGACCUCGGAUCAGGUAGGGAUACCCGCUGAACUUAAGCAUAUCAAUAAGCGGAGGA